rnacentral:rRNA from 1 species
UACGGAGGGUGCAAGCGUUAAUCGGAAUUACUGGGCGUAAAGCGUGCGUAGGCGGUUUUUCAAGCUUGAUGUGAAAGCCCCGGGCUUAACCUGGGAAUGGCAUUGAGGACUGAGAGGCUAGAGUGCGGCAGAGGGAGGUGGAAUUCCACGUGUAGCAGUGAAAUGCGUAGAGAUGUGGAGGAACACCGAUGGCGAAGGCAGCCUCCUGGGCCGACACUGACGCUGAGGGCACGAAAGCGUGGGGAGCAAACAGG